CCAUUGAGCGACACGGCGGAGGUUUCUGGGAGUCGAAGUCCAAAACUUGCAGGCCACCGCAAACGACACGCUUGGGCACUUUAAUGGGUUUUGGACUUCAACUCCCAGCAUGCCUCGCCAUUGGGCGACACGGCAGAGGCUUCUGGGAGUUGAAGUCCAAAACAAGUUGACAGGGAAGGACUGAACCGGAAGUGCCUCACAUUUCAGGAUUUCGAUUAGAUUUUACAACAGUUGCAUCUCCUUAUCUGGAAUUCCAAAAUAGCAGACCCAGCAAUUCAAUAUCCAGUGGGCGAAGCCUUCCUUCCCUGCGGCCACUCACCGGGCUCUUCCCACGCCGUGUCCAGGGCUUCCUCCAGGGCAGCGUGGUCAACGUGGCAUCGGUAGAGGUCCCUGUCCUUGGGGUCAACCUCGAUACGGAGCCAAGUGUGGAAAGUCCCGUCCGAAUUAGGUAAGACACCCCCGCGAAGGGUCUCCUGCUCCCAGACUUCGCCGUCCUUCUUCCAGACGGCAUCGAUCUCCUUUGGGUAAAAGCCGUCCACCCGGCAGCUGGAUGUUCCUGGCCAGGUCCAGCGCUACCAGGUUCCGGUGCUUGCCAAACCCGUGGGUGUCGAGGUAUUGAAAUGCUGCGAUGGGAAGAGACACAAAAUCAAGGGUCCUACCUUGAUUUCGGUUCGAUGGAAAGAGAAGCUGAGGAUGACAACGGCUCCAAGGAAAAGACAUACGAAAGUUGUCUUCUUCGAGGCACAGUCCAUUCUCAUCCUGCGGAAAACAACAAAAUUGUCCCCUUUUGACAUUUGGCGCGGGCAAGGAGCAAAACCUUGCGCCGGAUCAAGACUUAAAACUGUUUUUUUUGUUUAUAGGCUCAAAAGCUAAUGACGUGGUUGUCUCUAUCUGGCUCGAAGCCCAAGAGGAAACAUUAAUAUAUUUGGACAAGUCUUAACACCUUGGAAAUCAUGGAUCGUAUUUAAUCUCCGUCUUGCUGAGUCCUGGGAGCUUUUCCAAAGAUGAUGAUGAUGAUGAAUAGAUGGGAUUCAGCUUUGGAGAGACAUCUGAUGUGUACCAAUGGGUCUUAAUAAUAAUAAUAAUAAUAGUAAUAAUAAUAAUAAUAAUUUAUUUAUUUAUUUGCUACAUUUAUAUGACGCCCUUCUCACCCCGAAGGGGACUCAGAGCGGCUUACAAAUUAAAUUUACAUACAAUAUUAUAUUAGUAUAGUACAAUACUGGUAACAAAUUACUAUAUUGUACUGUAUCAACAUAUUGUAAUAUUAUUAGUAAUAUUACAUGUAAAAUAUGAUAUAUAAUUAAUAUUAUUAUAUUGUAUUAUUAGUACUAUAUCGUAUUACAAUAUAAUAUUAUGAAUAUUAUAUGUAUAUACAAUAUGUUAUAAUUAUUACAUAUUAUUGUAAAUUAUAUUGUAUAUAUAUAUUUACAUAUAAACACACACACAUAUAUAACAAUAAUAACAAGAAAACCGCACUACAAACUAGAGCUGUACACAACAGCUGUACACAACAGUUGGCACAACAAAACAUUGCAUGGAAAGUUCCUUGACAAAAUUGAAGGAAAAGCUGAUAAGGAGAAGACCUGGCUCUGGCUCACGAAUGGGACCCUGAAGAAGGAGACGGAAGGCCUGAUCCUUGCAGCCCAGAAGCAAGCCGCCCCGAGUCCCCACGGGGAGAUGGUGUCGGGGUAUAAAUAAAGUUUUAUUAUUAUUAUUAUUAUUAUUAAGCCAUCAGAACAAAUGCAAUUAAGGGCAAGAUCGAAAAAUCAGCUGAUGACCCAAAAUGUGGACUGUGCAAGGAAACCGACGAAACCAUGGAUCAUAUCCUCAGCUGCUGUAAGAAAAUUGCACAGACAGACUACAAACAGAGGCACAACUAUGUGGCCCAAAUGAUUCAUUGGAACUUAUGCCUCAAGUCCCACCUCCCAGCAGCAAAGAACUGGUGGGAUCACAAACCUGCAAAAGUAUUGAAAAAUGAGCAUGCAAAGAUACUGUGGGACUUCCGAAUCCAGACUGACAAACACACCAGACAUCUCAGUUGUGGAAAAGAAAAAGGUUUGGAUCAUUGAUGUCGCCAUCCCAGGUGACAGUCACAUUGACGAAAAACAAGAGGAAAAACUCAGGACCUCAAGAUUGAACUUCAAAGACUCUGGCAGAAACCAGUGCAGGUGGUCCCGGUGGUGAUGGGCACACUGGGUCAUGUUAUACAACGAAUUUGACAGAAAAAGUAAAUACAGUAGAGUCUCACUUAUCCAACAUAAACGGGCCGGCAGAACGUUGGAUAAGCGAAUAUGUUGGAUAAUAAGGAGGGAUUAGGGAAAAGCCUAUUAAACAUUAGGUUAUGAUUUUACAAAUUAAGCAUCAAAACAUCAUGUUAUACAACAAAUUUGACAGAAAAAGUAGUUUAAUACGCAGUAAUGCUAUGUAGUAAUUACUAUAUUUACAAAUUUAGCACCAAAAUAUCACGAUGUAUUGAAAACAUUGACUACAAAAAUGCGUUGGAUAAUCCAGAACGUUGGAUAAGCGACACUCUACUGUACAAAUAAAUAAAAGUAGUUCAAUGCGCAGUAAUGCUAUGUAGUAAUUACUGUAUUUACGAAUUUAGCACCAAAAUAUCACGAUUGACUACAUUGCUGCAUUGUAUGAGGGUUGAAUGAAAACUAAUGCCUCCACCUUCAUUACGUGGGCUUGGAUAAUAAUUUGAUUAAUAAAUCAAACGCAAAAAUAAUCCGUAGAAUGUGCUCUUUAACUACCACUAUUUCCAUAUACUCACCAGACAAUUGGAUACGUUUCUGCCAACGAUGAACAAGUUUUCUGAAGCCGUCACUGAGAAGUCAACACUCUGUUUCCGCAACCGGCGUCUCACAGUUCUCCCAAUAUCCGAUAGCCAAGCAAAGCAAUAAUGUGACCCACGCCUUCUU